rnacentral:tRNA from 1 species
UCUACCAAAGGAUAAUAGUUUUCCAC